rnacentral:rRNA from 1 species
UACGUAGGGGGCAAGCGUUGUCCGGAUUCAUUGGGCGUAAAGAGCGUGUAGGCGGCCAGGCAGGUCCGCUGUGAAAACUCGAGGCUCAACCUCGAGAUGUCGGUGGAAACCGUCUGGCUAGAGUCCGGAAGAGGAGAGUGGAAUUCCCGGUGUAGCGGUGAAAUGCGCAGAUAUCGGGAGGAAUACCUAUGGCGAAAGCAGGUUUCUGGGCCAUCACUGACGCUGAGCUGCGAAAGCUAGGGGAGCAAACAGG